CACGUAGGGCGCAAGCGUUGUCCGGAAUUAUUGGGCGUAAAGAGCGUGUAGGCGGCCAGGUAGGUCUGCUGUGAAAACUCGAGGCUCAACCUCGAGACGUCGGCGGAAACCAUCUGGCUAGAGUCCGGAAGAGGAGAGUGGAAUUCCUGGUGUAGCGGUGAAAUGCGCAGAUAUCAGGAAGAACACCCGUGGCGAAGGCGGCUCUCUGGGACGGUACUGACGCUGAGACGCGAAAGCGUGGGGGAGCGAACAGG
rnacentral:rRNA from 1 species